rnacentral:rRNA from 1 species
AUGUAACGCAUCUAUAUACAACUUUCAGCAACGGAUCUCUUGGCUCUCGCAUCGAUGAAGAACGCAGCGAAAUGCGAUAAGUAAUGUGAAUUGCAGAAUUCAGUGAAUCAUCGAAUCUUUGAACGCACCUUGCGCUCCUUGGUAUUCCGAGGAGC